AUCGCUUCUCGGCCUUUUGGCUAACAUUAAGUGUCGUGUC
rnacentral:snRNA from 1 species